UGCCCCAUGGCCCAGCUGGUUAAGGCGUCCGACUGUUAAGCUUACGUAAGCAAAAUAUCGGGAGAUCGAGAGUUCGAUCCUCUCUGGGGCAG